CCCUUAGACGUUCUGGGCCGCACGCGCGCUACACUGACGAAGGCAACGAGCUACUCUUCACCGAAAGGUGUGGGUAAUCUUUUGAAACUUCGUCGUGCUGGGGAUAGAUCCUUGCAAUUUUUGAUCUUAAACGAGGAAUUCCUAGUAAGCGCAAGUCAUCAACUUGCGUUGAUUACGUCCCUGCCCUUUGUACACACCGCCCGUCGCUACUACCGAUUGAAUGGUUUAGUGAGGCCUUCGGAUCCACGAUUUUAUUGUGGAGAAGUUGGACAAACUCAGUCAUUUAGAGGAAGUAAAAGUCGUAACA
rnacentral:rRNA from 1 species